CCUACGGGGGACAGCAGUGAGGAAUAUUGGUCAAUGGACGAGAGUCUGAACCAGCCAAGUAGCGUGAAGGAUGACUGCCCUAUGGGUUGUAAACUUCUUUUAUAUGGGAAUAAAAUGUUCCACGUGUGGGAUUUUGUAUGUACCAUAUGAAUAAGGAUCGGCUAACUCCGUACCAGCAGCCGCGGUAAUACGGAGGAUCCGAGCGUUAUCCGGAUUUAUUGGGUUUAAAGGGAGCGUAGGUGGAUUGUUAAGUCAGUUGUGAAAGUUUGCGGCUCAACCGUAAAAUUGCAGUUGAAACUGGCAGUCUUGAGUACAGUAGAGGUGGGCGGAAUUCGUGGUGUAGCGGUGAAAUGCUUAGAUAUCACGAAGAACUCCGAUUGUGAAGGCAGUUCACUGGACUGCAACUGACACUGAGGCUCGAAAGUGUGGGUAUCAAACAGGAUUAGAUACCCGUGUAGUC
rnacentral:rRNA from 1 species